rnacentral:rRNA from 1 species
UACGUAGGGUGCAAGCGUUAAUCGGAAUUAUUGGGCGUAAAGGGCGCGUAGGCGGUGCGGCAAGUCACCUGUGAAACCUCUGGGCUUAACCCAGAGCCUGCAGGCGAAACUGCCGUGCUGGAGUGUGGGAGAGGUGCGUGGAAUUCCUGGUGUAGCGGUGAAAUGCGCAGAUAUCAGGAGGAACACCGGUGGCGAAGGCGGGUCUCUGGGCCGAUACUGACGCUGAGGAGCGAAAGCGUGGGGAGCGAACAGG